rnacentral:rRNA from 1 species
UACGUAGGGUGCGAGCGUUGUCCGGAUUUAUUGGGCGUAAAGAGCGUGUAGGCGGUUCGGUAAGUCUGUCGUGAAAUCCUGAGGCUCAACCUUGGACGUGCGAUGGAUACUGCCGGGCUAGAGGAUGGUAGAGGCGAGUGGAAUUCCCGGUGUAGCGGUGAAAUGCGUAGAUAUCGUAAGGAAGACCAGUGGCGAAGGCGGGUCUCUGGACAGUUCCUGACGCUGAGGCACGAAGGUCAGGGGAGCAAACGGG